GUGCUGGGUGCCAGGGAGCUGCAGCGAGGAAGGCAGAGCCCACCUCUGCUCUGGCCGAGCUGGGGUUCUUGAGAAGACACAGUCCAACGAGGGCCGGGCAGGUUGUGGGCCGGAUGAGCAGGGCUUUCCCAGCUUCAUGAGGAGCUCCCGACGCCUGCGCAACAGAGGAGGGAGAAUCAGUCUGUCGUUCACAGGGGCCUUUGUGCAAUAGCUGCCGUCAAAUGGAGGUGUGCAGCCACUGCGUCAGGUCCCACUCAGGGGUGGUCCUGAAAGACAGGAGUGAAGGGAGAGCCUCCCGGUGGUCCCAUUUUGGCCAGUCUGGUCGUCUGCUUUGCUUUGGAGGAGAGGUGGCUGGAGCUCCGGAUCUACACGGACUAAUGAGCAACGGGCAACAGACUGGCUGGCCGGUCGGGCGCCUCUAGUGGUCAAGACCAGGAAGUCUGGGAAAGAGGCCCAUGGACGGAAGUCCCAGAAGGAGCACCAGGUGAAGACACAAAGGUGUCGUGAGGCUGACCCUGACAGACUGCAUCAUCCGGACUCCCUCACCUUCCGGCUUCUAGUUGGACGUGGCCAGUGGAAGCGCUGCGGGACAUCAGAGUCAAGUUCCGAGCAGGAAGAAACUUUCUGGUUCAUUUUAUUCAUUGCUGUAUCCUAGUCCCCGAAACAACACCAGGCAUACAGUAAGCUCUCAACUCCUACUCGUCGAAUGAAUGAAAGAACAGUAGAGCUGUGAAGAGAAUUCCCAAGAUUAAUGUGAAGGGAGAUUCCGGGAUGACAGCUGUGGAUCCAGGUGGCACAGGUCAGAAGGCUCCAGAAGAGCCAUUAGAGCCUGAAUGCCCUGAGAAGAGGUCUAGAUAGUCUGCAGAGCUUUGGGGUUGAUUUGAUAAGUACAUGGAAAACUAAGCAAACAAACAAACAAGCUUUUUUUUUAAAAAAAAGGUAAUCAUUGGUGUGGUGCAUCCACACAAUGGAAUAUUAUUCUAAAAAGAAAUGAGCUAUCAAGCCACAAGGAGACAUAAAAGGAGGAGCCUUAAAUGCAUAUUUCGAAGUGAAAGAAGCCAAUCUGAAAAAGCUACAUCCUGUCUGAUUCUAACUGUAUGACAUUCUGAAAAAGGCAAAGCUAUGGAAACAGUUAAAGAUCAGUGGUUGCCAGGGGUUAGGAGAGGGAAAGAUGGACAGCACGGAGGAUUUUAGGCAGUGAAACUACUCUGGGUGAUACCAUAAUGCCGGAUACAGGUCCUUAUACAUUUAUCCAGACCCAGAGAAUGUACACCACCAAGAGUGAACCCUCAUGUAAACUAUGGAC